ensembl:processed_transcript Gm13429 predicted gene 13429
CGGGUGCGCUGAGCAUCUCGGCAGGGCCUCCCAGAGCACUGCUGCGCGCUGCCUAGCGGGCCGCGGAGGAUCCCCACCUGCGGUCUCCCGGGGCACGACCUCCUGUACCCGCACGGGGGACCCGUUUCCGGGCGGCCGCUGGGCGGGCAGGAAGCCGCGCAUUGUUCCCUGGCAGAGGCCGGAGGGGAGUUCCCGGUUCGCGCGCAAUGGGGAGAAGAGAGCAGCGCCCGCCUGCAACACGCGCUCCGCUGACCCCUGGCAUCCGCUCUGCCCUGAAGCUCGCUCAUGGAUCUAGGCUCCUGUUUCUGCAGCUUCCUGUUCUACCUGUGUUCUACUAUCUCUGGCCCUGACUUGGGAGCUCCAGGCUGACCUCUGACCUCAGGUUCUGACUGUUGUCUGCUUUGGCUUUCCAUUCGACCGUGUGACUCUGGCCAAACCUCUUGCCUUUCCUGAGCCAGCAGGAUUCUUCUUCAAACAAGAGCCAACCUGAGAAGCCCAGGAUGGAUAUGUGGAAAGCAAAGGUGGAAGGUGGCAAGGAAGGGGCUGAUGCUUGAGUCCCCUGUCCCCUGGUGGUGGCCCUGGACAGUCCUGCAGAUCCCUAGUUUUGAAGAACAUAGUUUGAAAACCCAUUUUCUUGAUUUUUUUUCAAAAUAUUUUUUUUCCUCC